GCGCUUGGGCCCGGGGGGUGCAGCACCAGUUGAGAUUCAAGAGAGUGAGCAUUCGAGCAUUCAGCAUUGAGGAUUUGAGAUUCGAGCCCCUACCCUCCUGGCUGGCGUACCCGCAGCCCACCUGGACUCUGGCCGGGCCCAGCCUGGAGGUGCUGCACCAGUCCAGAGGAGAUGGCUGAUGUUUUAGAUCCAGUGUUUUAGAUGGCCUCAGAUGUACCUCGACUACUGAGCUGCCAGAUUUUUUAUCUCUCUGUUUCAAUGAGUGUAAAGGCCUCAUGUCAUUUUUAAGAAAUACACUCAGAUCCCACACUACUUGUGUUGAGUCUGUCAAAGCCGAAUCCUGUGCACACCUGGCCAGAUCCCAUCGUCCUGCGGAACAAGGGACCCCGUAAGAAACCCCAGUCUGUGGCAAGUGUGUACAUAUUGAUAUGGAGGCCAGAGUUACUUCUUCAGAACGGUUGUUUCUUCAGACAGGCCUUCUCACUCAGCCUGGAGACUACAGGUUUAGUUAGACUGGUUGGCCAGCUCUAGGGAUCCACCUAACUUUCAUACAUAAACAGUUGGGGAUCUGAACUGAGGUCCUCCUACCCACAUGAGAAUUAUUUCCCUAGCCCCAGACUUUUGUCAAUUUCUAACUAGAAUACUCAAGAAUUUUAGGAAUGAUCUGUUAAGCUCUUGAGAUAGAAUACCCAAGAAUGUUUAAAGGAUAGGAAUGGAACAGCUCUUGCCUAAGCACAUGAGGUCCUCCAUUUCCUUCCCACGGCCACAAAACAUUUUGGUCUGUGUGGGCACUUUCUUAAUAAGUAGGUAUUCAAAGAGAUCUAGAGGGCUAGUAAUGACAGAAGGAUAUGAAAUGUGAUGACAAUGUAUUGCUACUGAGCAACUUAGUCUGUUUCUUGUAAAUGAUAAUAAUGGAAAGGAGUUAAAAAUUUGGGGUUUGCAGGGUUAAGUUCAUGGGUACUUCUGUCACCAGCCUGUACACUCCUCCCAGGUUUUGCAUUGAGGAGCCACUUUGUCUGCCUUGCUUGCAUCCAUGGUUACAGAUAUGUGCAGUAUUCUCAGGUUAGGGCCUAGUCUUCAUCUUCAUAAACCUUGACACUCUUGUCCUACUCCUAGAAAACAGGACCUUAAGGCAUCGGCUUGAUGUGGGGUUGAGGGGUGGAUGGAAUGCCAGUUGAUUAAUUACCUACAAAGCAAUUUUGGUAAGGGACAGAGGGUAAAUUAGGAGAAGCUGGCCACCAGGAAGGCUAUCACCUCUGCCCAUUGGAUCUGUACCUGUGGGUGGCAAUGCCCUUGGUAUUGUGACAUUUCUGAUAUGCCUCUUCCCACCCAGGACUUAACUGAACAUCGGUUUGGAGUCAACUGAAGAAAACCCUUGCCAUGACUGUGUAAUGGACUUUCUAUUCCACUUGAUACAUGUAAUUUAACAUCUUAGCAAACAAUCACUGAGCCAUAAACUUAACUGAGAAUGAUUAAGGCCUACCUAUAUUAUAAUGUCUGCUGUUUGUGUUUGUCUCAUCAUAAUCUUUCAUCUCUAGUAUUAAGUCAUUUUCUGUGGCAAAGUUAACCACCACCCUGAUUUUUACUGUCUCAAACUAUGCCUCGAAUUUUGUCUUUGUCUCAAUUCUGUGCUUAGUUUUUGCAGCUUCAUUGGUUUCCAGUCCUUGUUCAUCAGAUUGCACAAAUUCUUACAGAACUCUCAUGUUGGCCAUUUCUUAGUGUAUGAAUCUCUUUAAGUGAUCUGUUUGCUGUAAAUCUACACACAACCCACCACCUACAUGCCCACACUACUCUAGCACCACAUUCCUAAAUGAUACUUAAUUAAUUAGGGUUUUGCUCCUAUAGGACCCUUUUUUGUUGUUGUUGUUUUUCGAGACAGGGUUUCUCUCUGUAGCCCCGGCUGUCCUGGUAUUCAAUCUGUAGACCAGGCUGGCCUCGAACUCGGAAAUCUGCCUGCCUCUGCCUCCCAAGUGCUAGGAUUAAAGGCGUGUGCCACCACCGCCUGGCUGAGGACCCCUUAUUUUACUUGUCUGUUUUUAGACUUAUUAGAUAUUCCCACUGAACCCAGUGCUGGCAAGCAACCCACUUCAGCAUCCUGAAUGCCAAGAUUACAGCUCUCUGACACCAUACCCAGCUUUUGUAUCAUGCUUGUAAUGGGAAGAGUUUCUUGUAAUUCGAAACAGGGUUUCUCUGUGUAGACCAGGUUGACCUUGAAUUUACAGAGAUCUGCUGCCCUUGCCUCCCAAGUGUUGGGAUUCAAGGCGUGUGCCACAAUCUGGCUCAAUUCACACCUUUUAAAACAAGAUGAUUUGGGAUAGAAAUUUUGGUGUUACAAUUCAUAUCCAAUAGAAUCAGAAUCAAAGGUUAGGCUUUUCUUUAGGCAUUCUAAGUAUGGACCCUUGAACUCAGAUCCACCUGCUCCUGCCUCCUUCAAUCCUGGGAUUAAAGGCAUAAACUUAACUCAGAACUGAGAUUUGAGAAGCCUUGGAAAAUGAGCAGAUAUGCUGCUUCAAAGAGGUAUCAACAGUAGCAUGCAAACAACUAUAUUAAAAAGUAGAAGCAUUUUAAGACUGGGGGCUCUAGUGAUGGAACUGUUGUACAAUACGCCUAGUAUGCAUGAGAUCAUGUUUAAUUCCCCAGGCGUGCAAAGCACACUGGAACAGGAUCUAUCUGGCCAGUUGUAACAGGACCUAGAGAAACCAUGGGAGAAAGGACUCUCCUGGACUGAGGAGGCAAGAAGCCACAAGAGGGCACUUGAUCCCUUGGAGCUGCAGCUGUAGGUAAACUGGGAACCUGUACUUAGUCUUGCAAGAGUAGCAAGCAUUCAGAACUGCUAAGUCAUCUCUCUAAUCCCUUAGUAUUGACUUUAACAGUUACACACCACCUAAGUUACCAAGACCCCAUUCGUCUAAAAAUCUUGUGUGGAGCCAGGUGACAGUGGUGCAUGCUUUUAAUUCCAGCAGAGGCAGAAGCAGGCAUAUCUCUGAGGCAAGGCCAGCCUAGUCUACACUCUUCCAUGACUGACUGGGACACAAAAAGAAUCCUGUCUCAAAAAAACAACAAGAUAAAAUCCUUUUCUUUUAACCAUAGUUGCUAUAAAACCCACUACGCUCAGCAUGAGGUCAAGAGGAAAUAUAUUCAAGAUUGUGCUAUCUGUGGUUUUGUGGUCUUCUAUAACUGCCUGCCCUUCCCUUUUUGUUAGUUCUUUUGGAAAGUGUUUUUCUUUUAAAACCCCAGGGAUUGAAACCUCUUUAGGAGGAAGAGUACCUGAAAUUCUUAGUAUAACAGAUUAAGAUCCAAACCUAUUUGAUCACAUACAUGGAUUGCUAUGUGUACCAAGAUAGUGAAAACAGCAUUAAUGCUAGAAACACUGAUCAGUGUAAUGGAGAUCAUCUCUCUGUGUAUGGAUAAGUGCUGACUUUAUAGCAUAGUUGGCUUUAGUAGUUUUACCAGAGAAAAGGGUAUACUGAUUUGGUAUAGAGUCAUGUGUAGGACAUGGUUAAAACCUGCCAGACUCAGAAAAAACACACCUGACCCUGACCUGGACUUUUCCAAGGAUUCAGAACUCAGCUUAGUAUUAAUACUCUUGAUACCUCAUAGUAGCCAAGAGUAAAGGUUAUUUACUCCUAAGGACCUCAACCCUGUACCAGUGGGAUGUACUCUCCUAACGAUGUCCCCUCUACUAGAUACUGCUUUAUAACCAUUCAGAACUGAUUAAACUUCGCCUUCUCCAUACCUCUUACAUGCCUCAAACUUCAAGAAGCCUAGACCACUGAAGCCCAUGAAGAUCGGCUUCCUUCAAAUCAAGCCCUUUUAUUUGCCUUUUAUAUUAAUGGAGAUGACCUGUUCUUCUGCACUGAGUUCAAGCAAGUUACUCUGAAACUGGUAGGAUUACUCAUUUGGGAUUUGCAGACUGCUUUUAUCCAGAACCUGUUGAGAGAACAAAGGACGUAAGUUAACUCAGUGUACUGUGUUAAAAGAUUGCUAAAGAUUCUACUGCAGUUUAAAUACUGAUUUGGGAACUCAAAAAAUCAUUGAAGCCGAGUUCCAGGACAGCUAGGGCUACACAGAGAACCCCUUCUUGUUUAGAAGCAUGACAUAGCUCAUCAGUUUUCAUCUGCUGGCUUUCUCCCCCUGGAAAAAAGAUCAAGUCUGGUCUAAAGGAUUUCUGAUUUUCCUGUUGCCAGCUCCAGAGCUAGGAUCAGUCAUCCUCACCACACCAUUUGAACACUCCCACAGCAAUCAGGAUGAGGUUGUGAGAUUCCAGGCUCAUUACCUCCAGGUACUGGGAGCAGCACCACAGCAGGAAUGGAGAGCAGUGGCUCAAGAACUCUGCAGAAAGAUACAGAUGCAUGUGUGCUGGAUCCCAGUACAAUAAACAACUUUUCCUGUGGGAAGCUAUCAGAAUAGCGUGGGGUGCAGUCUUCCCUGUGCCUCUCAAUCACUGAGUGCUAAAUUCCCAACUAUAAACACUGGCAUUUGGCUUGUUUGUGACUCCUGAUUGUGACAGUAAGGAGGGGAUCCAUUCACCCAAACACUCAAAGGCAAAGCAGCAAGCCCUAGACUUCAGGUUACCCAGCUCACAGCCCCCAGACUGUGGCCACAAGUUCCUACCACUGAUGCUGCUCCUCAAGGAAGCUUUCUGCUCACACAACAAACUGGAAAUGGCAGUUUUGAAAAGGGAUAGAGUACUCAGUUUUCAUUGUGUUGCUUUAUUCAGUUUGCUCCAAGGGCAGAAUCAAUAGUAGGGAUCACAAACAUUAUUUUGAGUGGCUCACAAGCCAGAUCAGUAAAACCUAAAAAAACAGGAAGUGUUACACAAGUUGCAAAUAAAGCCUCCUGGAGUUCAUUGGCAUGAUAGCAGUGGAAGGACGGCAAAUGCAACCGGUGUUAACAUCUCAUACAGGACUUGGAACCUGCUCACUUCUGGACAAUUCUAGGACCCUUGUUGCAAACCCUGCAGAUACCAAUGCUGAUUUUCUUUGAUAUGAAAUAUGA